UACAGAGGGUGCGAGCGUUGUUCGGAAUCAUUGGGCGUAAAGCGCUUGUAGGCGGCUUGUUAAGUCGCGUGUGAAAUCCCUUGGCUCAACCAAGGAAGUGCGCGCGAAACUGGCGAGCUGGAGUGCCGGAGAGGGUCGCGGAAUUCCCGGUGUAGAGGUGAAAUUCGUAGAUAUCGGGAGGAACACCAGUGGCGAAGGCGGCGACCUGGACGGACACUGACGCUGAGACGCGAAAGCGUGGGGAGCAAACAGG
rnacentral:rRNA from 2 species